rnacentral:misc_RNA from 1 species
GGUUAAGCCCCUGGCAGCUUUAGCUAUGCUUGAUGAGGGGGAGCUGGAUUGGAAAAUUGUUGCCAUUUCAUUAGAUGAUCCCAAGGCAGCACUUGUAAAUGAUGUGAACGAUGUCGAAAAACAUUUUCCGGGCACCCUUACUGCAAUAAGGGAUUGGUUUAGAGAUUACAAGAUCCCAGAUGGAAAGCCCGCUAAUAAAUUUGGUCUUGGUAAUAAGCCAGCAAACAAGGAUUAUGCUCUAAAGGUCAUCGCAGAGACGAACGAGGCUUGGGCUAAGUUAGUGAAGAGAUCUGUUGAGGCUGGAGAGCUAUCUUUGGUUUGACUGCGACCUGUCCAGUUCAAUUGACAGGCACAUUGAAAUCUCUAUGGUAAUUUGCAAGCAUUGAAUAUGAAUGUACAUUUCAU